rnacentral:rRNA from 1 species
AUUGAACGCUAGCGGGAUGCUUUACACAUGCAAGUCGAACGAGUGGCGGACGGGUGAGUAAUAUAUGGGAAACUGCCCGAUGGCGGGGGAUAACUACUCGAAAGGGUGGCUAAUACCGCAUACCACUGGAGCGGCCGAUAUCGGAUUAGCUAGUUGGUGGGGUAAAGGCUCACCAAGGCGACGAUCCCUAGCUGGUCUGAGAGGACGACGAGCCAAACUGGAACUGAUACACGGCCCAGACUCCGACGGGAGGCAGCAGUGGGGAAUAUUGGACAAUGGGGGAAACCCUGAUGCAGCCAUCCCGCGUGUAUGAGAAGGCCUUCGGGUUGUAAAGUACUUUUGGCAGGGAAGCGUUAUCUGCAGAAUAAGCACCGGCUAACUACGUGCCAGCAGCCGCGGUAAUAC